CCUACGUGAGGCAGCAGUGAGGAAUAUUGGUCAAUGGGCGCGAGCCUGAACCAGCCAAGUAGCGUGAAGGAUGACUGCCCUACGGGUUGUAAACUUCUUUUAUAAAGGAAUAAAGUGUGGCACGUGUGCCUUUUUGUAUGUACUUUAUGAAUAAGGAUCGGCUAACUCCGUGCCAGCAGCCGCGGUAAUACGGAGGAUCCGAGCGUUAUCCGGAUUUAUUGGGUUUAAAGGGAGCGUAGAUGGGUUGUUAAGUCAGUUGUGAAAGUUUGCGGCUCAACCGUAAAAUUGCAAUUGAUACUGGCAGUCUUGAGUACAGUUGAGGUAGGCGGAAUUCGUGGUGUAGCGGUGAAAUGCUUAGAUAUCACGAAGAACUCCGAUUGCGAAGGCAGCUUACUAAACUGCCACUGACAUUGAUGCUCGAAAGUGUGGGUAUCAAACAGGAUUAGAUACCCUUGUAGUC
rnacentral:rRNA from 1 species